UGGGCCAGUGGCAGAACAAGACAAUUCCAAGUUUAAAAGUGUCUUUCUCACAUGACCGGCCCGUGUGAACUAACGCCCCGCACGCCAGGCUCCGGCAGGGCAGACACGGGGAAACACAAACACGAGUGACCAACUCGCCCCUCUCCCUGUCCAGGCCCGACACUCACUGCGAGAGAUGCUCACACCAGUCAUCUGCCAUCAGGCUCAAUUAAUAUUUCUGAUGGAGCUCUCUACAGGUGACACACACACGUGUGCCAUGUAUACAGUUUGUGAGAAACCGAUUUUCAGUUUCUAUACCCAGGCGCAUUUUAGAACUGUUUUCUGGGGUGUGCUCGGGACACACCAAGUAUGUCCACACACACGCACACACACAUACACACACUUUGCCCACAGGCGAUCUACAUCAUCGUCAUUAUCAUACAUAAUAAUAGUGACGAAUGAGGUGAGCGGAGAGGCCGCCGUGUCCCGGGGUAGCUCGCUUUUCCCUCGCAGCUCGGUGAUCACAGAUCACAGUCCAGCCCGGGGACCUCGCGCUGCCCGCCCGGCUCCAGGCUCGAGCUCCCUGCCCCUAGACCAGCCUGCACACUCGGUCUCUCCUCCCUCUCUCCCUCCCUCUGCCUCUCUCUCCCUCUCCCUCUCUCGCCCGGGAGCCCUCUGUCAGUCCACGCUCGGGGCACAGGAGACAGAUUGA
rnacentral:lncRNA from 1 species